rnacentral:rRNA from 1 species
GCAUAACGCGAAGAACCUUACCUGGUCUUGACAUCCACGGAACUUUCCAGAGAUGGAUUGGUGCCUUCGGGAACCGUGAGACAGGUGCUGCAUGGCUGUCGUCAGCUCGUGUCGUGAGAUGUUGGGUUAAGUCCCGCAACGAGCGCGAACCCUUGUCCUUAGUUGCCAGCACGUAAUGGUGGGAACUCGUAAGGAGACCGCCGGUGACAAACCGGAGGAAGGUGGGGAUGGACGUCAAGUCAUCAUGGCCCUUACGACCAGGGCUACACACGUACUACAAUGGUGGGGACAGAGGGCUGCGAACCGGCGACGGUGAGCCAAUCCCAGAAACCCUAUCUCAGUCCGGAUUGGAGUCUGCAACUCGACUCCAGUGAAGUCGGAAUCGCUAGUAAUCGCAGAUCAGCAUUGCUGCGGUGAAUACGUU